rnacentral:rRNA from 1 species
CCUACGGGGGGCAGCAGUGAGGAAUAUUGGUCAAUGGGCGGGAGCCUGAACCAGCCAAGUCGCGUGAGGGAAGACGGUCCUAUGGAUUGUAAACCUCUUUAGGCGGGGAGCAAUGCCGUGCACGCGUGCCCGGAGGGAGAGUACCCGCAGAAUAAGCAUCGGCUAACGCCGUGCCAGCAGCCGCGGUAAUACGGGGGAUGCGAGCGUUAUCCGGAUUUAUGGGGUUUAAGGGGUGCGUAGGCGGAAUUUUAAGUCAGCGGUAAAAUGUCCGGGCUCAACCCGGGCCGGCCGUUGAAACUGGGGAUCUUGAGUGGGAGAGAAGUAUGCGGAAUGCGUGGUGUAGCGGUGAAAUGCAUAGAUAUCACGCAGAACUCCGAUUGCGAAGGCAGCAUACCGGCGCCCGACUGACGCUGAGGCACGAAAGCGUGGGGAUCGAACAGGAUUAGAUACCCUAGUAGUC